rnacentral:tRNA from 1 species
AUUUAUAUAGUUUAAAUAAAACAUUACAUUUUCACUGUGAAAAUAAUAUAUUUUAUAUUUAUAAAUA